rnacentral:tRNA from 1 species
AGUUAAAGAGCUGCAGAAAUAGCCUAAUGUCUUGAAAACAUUAUGAAAGAAGUUCAAAUCUUCUAUUAACUU